rnacentral:pre_miRNA from 1 species
AUGUGACACUUUUCGGAUUUCGAGAUUCAAACAAGUUUAAUUUUAACCGUAAAUUUUUUGUAGAUCUUUUAAACAUUUUGAAUUAUCAAUUGUUGUGAUUUCUAGUACUUUUUAUGUAGUUUACAAAUAUAUAAAUUUCAUUUCAAAAAAAUUGAAGAUUUCAUGCGCAAAUUCCCGGUCAAACUUAAACUGUUUAACUCUCGAAAAAUAAAAAGUGCCACAUAA